GGCUCAUAGCUGGUGAGCAAGUUCCCAACAAAGCCACACGCUGUAGUAUCCUGAAGGUCCCUGGGGUUGACAAGAGAAAGGGCUGAAACCAACUCCACCAGAAUCCAUUCUUGUCAUUCUCUAAUGGCUUAUAGAUCGUGCAAUUUCCAUAAACACUCUUUGAAGGGAAGCUAUGUGGGAUUUUAACAGCUUUUUGAGUUCAUGUGGGUGUCACUUGCUUUGAUGUACGCCAGAAACAAAACAAGAGCAUGGCUGAAGGAAACAAUCAAUGGAUUUUAAGUUGGCUCAGCUGUUACUAUGUCCAAUGGAGGAGGGGAAAAUGCUGUUACUUGGGAGAAUUAACUAACUGAAUUUGGGCUGUGAUUUAUGACUUCUGACACACUUUCUGACAAAGCUGACAUGGCAUACGACUGAGCUGAACUGAUUGAUCCAUUAGUAACCCAGCACUCUUGACCCAGGCAAGAGUUGAUUACAUGAGGAAGAAACUGAGGGGCGGCCAGUGGUUACAGCAGCCACUGACACCCCUUCCAGAGGAUCCUGAGAAGAGGAGAACGUGGUCAUUUACUGGAUAGGUUUGUCAUGUAGCACUCAGUAUGUCCUGCUCCUGUUUAGCUGUUACUGCAGAUGCUGCGAGGUCCCUGCUGUAUCACACACUCUCACUAGGCUCCACACCGCCUGCUUGAAUUUCAGUCACAGAAAUGAUUACUGAUCUGUGCUCCCUGCUGCAGCUGAGAAUUCGGUACUGCCAGGAAAAAUCAGCUCUGUAUUUCAUUUCCAUCCCCAUAUUUCUUUUAACAUCCAUUGCAAGCACCCCAUUCACAGUUUAACCACACCACUGUGCUACUGGCUCCAGAGGAGGCGAGGAGCACAGAGCAGCCUCGUCAUGAACAGGUGGUGGGCAGGGACCCUUACAGGAGAGAAGUGCCCUGCUUUUGGUCUGUUUUGUGACAACAGUGCGGGCAUUGAGGGAGCUGCCGGAGCAGUGCAGGAGAGCUGCGGGGUGAGGCCAGGCACGACACGGCCUGUUCUCCUGAGGGAUGGCACGAAGUCACUGCACAGGCCCAAACCUGCGUGCCCCUGACAUCCAACUUCUUCCUGAAGACAGCAGAAGCCCUGUGAAGAGGCAUGAGAAGUAUUCAUGUAAUAUUUGUAUAAUAUAAAUAUUGGUAUAAUAUUUUGUGAAUAUUAUUAUUUACUUUAAUAUUUGUGAAGCCCCACCUGUAUUUGGAAACCUGCCCGCUGUCCCUUGGGACAAAUGGUGCAGACAACCAGCAGGACCUGCACCCAAGCUGGGAGGUGCUGGUGGAGCUGUCUGGAGGUAUCUAUCUCUGCCUCCAGCCGUUUCCAUAGCAGAACACCCCUGCAGCAGCAAGACCUGCCCGUGGGCUGCCCUUCCUACCCAUGCCCACCAGGAGCUCGCCCCUGCUUCCCUACACCUCCAGGCAUAGCCUGGGCUGCCUGCAGGCAGCAGCAGCGCUCCUCUGGCUGGAGCCUUGCCCUUUUUCAGAGCAGUGGUCCCUGGGACACCUUUAUUCCAGAAAAGGACCCCCAAAACCAUAUGUAUUUUGUACCAGCAACAAAACACUCAUUGGAGCAUAACAGCAUGUUACUGCUGUUGGUCACUGCAGUGAAGUUUAUCUGAUGGACUGCAUCUUGUGUCUGGCCAUCCUGCACUCCCUGGUGGGCUUAGCCCAGGGCUCGCUGCUCCCUGAGGCUCUCCAACACAAAGCAUUAGCAGGGGCUGGAGCCUCAGCAAAGCAUUGACUGGGAGAUGAAUGGGUCUGCGUUAGCUGCUGCGAUGGUACUUUACAUUUUAACAGCUCUGGAGAAACUCUGACAAACAUCCUGCAGAUUAACUGCUCCACUGCAGGUGUUUCCUGCUGCCUCCCUACGUGCAGCAUCGAUCCUGGGUGCCAGCCAUCAUAUGAAAGCACAGAUUUGUGAGACAGCGCGGUGGUGGAUGGAGUCGGGAUGAACUACUGCCAUAGCCUGGAAAUUGAUGUGGAGGUGGGUGGCAUCUGUUAGAGGCUGUAGAAUAGAAACCAAAGCAAUUCUCCUGCACAGAAGUCUCCCAUCCCUUCUAGGCAGCCCUUGAGGAUUGGGCUUUCACCUUCCUUUGCUCCCCGCUCCACAUUCCUUUCCAGGUGGCAACCAGCAGCCCCCAAACCCUGCAUCAAGGUCAGGGAGAGGGAGGAGAUGGGCCAUCACCUACAUGGUGACACUGCACUACAACACUGUUUCUGCUUCCUAGCCAGGCAAGACUCCAAGCCUGUGCUUGAGGAACAGGAAUUCACGUGAGAAAGAAAGAACCCCAUUUGUUGUGCUUCCCCCCUCAAUAAGAGUGAGGUGUGGAGAAGAAAAUACAGCAGUACUGGGGCCUGGGGUGAAUGGAUUCCCCAGCCACGUGCAGUGUGGGGACACCCAUCACCCCUGGACUCUGUCCCUGCUCACAUAAGGGAGGGGAGAAUGAUUUUGGGGUGUCUUGAGAUGAUACAAUUUCAGAAAAUGCAGGAUGAAGGCGCCCUGACACAAAGGUCAUCUAAAACUGAGGCAGAAGCAGCUUGUUUCAGGCAUGGUCCCAUGGCCUCUGUGGCAGUGCUUUCCUUCCUUCUCAUCACUAAAGGCGGACACCAAGCCCCCCUUGGAAGCUAUGAAGGAGCAUAAUUUGAUACAGGUCCCCAAGUGAGCAGCAGCAUAUUUGGCUGAAAUCUACCCGUGUUAAGGCCAGAGGCAAGCGUCUGGAAUUGGUGGGUGAAUGAUCCCAUCUCGUGUGGAAAUUGCAUUGCAUGUCAGCCACUGUGCUCUGCUCUGCUGUAAUGAAAAGUAAUUCGACCAAACAUUUUUGCACGUUAUUCUUCUGUUAGAACGAUCAUCCCGUGCA